GCAGCAAUGUGGGGGUCAAUUUGAUACUUGCAUGAGUGUAGGAAGAGGGGUUCGGCCAGGGCCGCCCACAGCCAGUGCCCUGGGCCCGGCUGGCAGAUGUGUGGCUCCCCUGGGGCCUGGGCAGGGUCAGCACCAGUGUGGGCUGCUGGGCACCGGGGCAGAGGCAGGGGCAGGGGUGGCAUGGGGAAGCAGGGUUGUCAGGGUUGUCACCUGCUGUGUGUUGGCCCUGUGUUGAGCAUGUGGCUCUCGGGCAGGGGAGGCACUGGACGGGGCUGUGAGGGUGGGGAUGAGACCUUAGGAUGGCCACCACAUGCUGGCUGCUGCCUCUGGCCUCCGAAUGGCCGCCAAGUGCUGCGAAGCAGGUGGCUGGACUUACUGCACAGUAAAUUUAAGCCAGCGUAAAUGCACGUGUAGACGUGCCCAUAAAUGUAUGUGUUCAUACGUAAAGCUAGGAUAAGGGGAAAGAAUGGGCUAAAGAGACAGUGAAGGCAGGCCUAUACAUCAAAUAAAUACCAGAGGCAGGCAAAGACUAACAGGCUACAACCAACAACCCUGCAAGUAAGUACCGGGACUUCUAGCAUCCUGCCCCCAGACAAGCAUGACUCUGGGCAGGGGCAGGUGAACAAGCGCGUGUCUGCUUGUGAAGGGGUGGGGGAGCCCUGAAGACAGGCACUGGCCAGGCAGCUGUGGAGCUCCAAGGGAACAGCUGGGUAGCUUUGGGGCACUGAGGGCUGUGCAGAUUGGAUUGGGGACAGAAGGAUUGCUUAAUAUUUUGGACAUCUAGCCCUACAGCCCAGCAUCAUUGCCUAGUACGUAGUGCAGAGUUACCUCGGGAGAAGUCAGAAGUAAAACUCCUGUUUAAGUUACACUGAUGUAGGUGUUGUGUGUUCACUUCUGUGCCCGGCUGGCCCUUUUCUCAAUGAAACAGGCUAGUACCAACUUCCCCACCUGUGAUGACGUCGUGCAGCUGUCGCAGGGUGGGGUCCCUAGGGGUGGCCGUGUUACCCCUAGGCUCCUUACCUGUGCCAGUCUUGCCCUACAAGCACCCUCCGUCUCGCCCGCCACAUCUUGUUGGUGUGGUUAAUACAGGGAGGCUGCCCUCGGUCUUUAGGCUUGGACAUGGUCUGGCUAGAUCCUAUUAAACCCUGCUGUUCAUCGACCCCUUGGCGUUCUGCUUCACUGUGGACGGUUCCCGAGUCUCUCAGCCUUAUGGGCUGUAUGCGUGGCACCGGCCACCCCUUUACCAUGCCCCAAGCCUCGCAGACGGCAUUGACGUUGUCCUAUCUAGGCCUUGCUGUGAUUUGCCCCCCUUGUCCUCUCCGGGCUCUCCGCAGCCCUGUCUCUGCGCCCACGCUGGCGCUGGGGUCCCCACACUGCAGUGGGCCCCCAAUGAGGCCUCCUCCUUCCCCAAAUAGCCUCACCCAAACCUCCGGUGUUAUCAGACAGCAAACGAACAAGAGUGAUCGAACGUGAGCCCCUGGGCUAUAACAUAACUCAACGCUCAAGGCAUGCUCUGCCCCUUUCACAGAGGCAAACUCCCGCUCUGAGGCUCGGUGCCUAGCUGGCAAGGAUGGACACCUUAUGGGCUCCUGGGGUCCCCUUUGUUCGAAGGGGAGCGGAUCUGCCGGCUGCAACACUUCUGGGCCCUUCCUUCCUGGAGGCCCCUUCCCCUUCAGCUGGUGGUAGGGCACUAAGUGCCUGGGCCCAGCCCUAGGGUGUACAUGGGCCUAGGGCCCUGCCUCCUCCGGCCAGCUGACCAGGUGCAGGUGCGGCCAGUUCCCUCGUUAACCGGUUGUCACAGCAACCCGCGCCUGGGCUCUUAUCUGGCUCUUUGUGCUGGUCCCCGGGCAAUCUCUGCUCUGAGAGGAGCAGGCGCCUUAGUGCCCUGCGACAGCAAUAGUAUGGCCUGCGCAGAGUGGUCGGUAUUUGCUUGGGAUUGGGAACUGGCUGAUUCGGAGGGACAGCGAUUCGAUUCGGAGAUUCGAAUCCCUGUCACGAUUCGAUUCAGCUGAAUUGGAUCUGAAGAUGUGGCACUGCUGCAGAGAUUCAGCCAUUCAGCCACUUUCCUGCCAUGGCAGGGGGUCGCACUUGAGGAUCUGCUCAGAUCCCUUCCGACCCUCCCAACUAUGAAACUAUGACACUAAAAAGGCAGCAGUCGUCAGCAUGCCAGACACCAUUGCCUGCAGCUGGUAAAUGUGUUGUGGUGGGUGGAGGUGGGAGGGAAGGGGCAUGGGGGUUGCAGAUCGACACCCCCGCAGCGAGGGACAAGCUGCCCAGCCGGGGCUUGGGGGCGCAGGACUUGGGCAGGGGAGUGUGGGAUGUAGGCACAGCAGUGCUGGGAGCAGGGGAGAUGCCCUGUUGCCGCUUGUCCAGGUGUGUGUGGGGGCAUAAUGCAGGUGUGCCUGGCUCCAGGCAAAAGGGGGCAAGGGGAAGCAGGGCACAGACCCCAUUCCUAGCAUGGCCACAGCUGCAUCCCGUGGCCUCCUGCCCCAGCUGGGUAAGAGAAAGCAGGGCAUAACCUGCCACUUGCCCAGCCAGGGAAGGGGGCGCAGGAUAUGGGCGCUGCCGCCGCUUGCCCAGCCAGGGCAGGGGGUGGCACAGGAUGUGGGCGCAGCAGAGCUGGGAGUGAGGGCUGUGCCACGCUGCCGCUUGCCCCCUUGCACCUGGAGUGAGCCACGCCUGCAUCAGGCUAGCAGGUGCUGCCUGUUUGUCUGUGGCCACAUCUCCGUAUUCAGAGGCUUCUGAUUAAAUUCGGACCUUUGAAUUGGUCUGCCAAUUGGAUUCAGAUGAAGAGAUUUCAUUGCCGAAUCAGGAUGCAUGUCCUCCAAAUCGAAUCGGCUACCAAAGCUUUGCACAGCCCUGGUAGUCGUGCCUCCCGCAGCAGGUCCCCUGGGAGAGGGGGCCAUCUGUCUGCUCUGAAUAUCAGUGAAACUUAGAUCAGUGUAAGAGACAGUUGUAAAUGAAAUCAGUAUUAUUCUGUCGUGGGCCCAGCCUCUCAGCGCACGUCCAGGCAAGCCCCCACGUGCCUCUUGCAGCACGCCUCUCAAAGCAGCUGGAGACGCAGCAAGAGGCAGGACCAUUCCUGGAGGCAGCCGGAGGUUGGGUCCUCCAUAGAGACUCUCUGAUAGCCGGGCAGAGCAGCUCUCUCCCUGCUCCUUGCCCCGCUGCUGCAGUGCGCUGCCUGCUGCGGGCGAGCAGCGAUGCAGGCUGCAGCAACCGUGCCCCGGGCUCCAGUCCAGCUGCCAGAACCCGUUGGGAUAGGAAAUGGCAGCAGGGCCAGAUCCACAGUGAUGCCCACAACAAAGAUGCUUCGUCACCGCAACCAUCCCUUGACACAUCCUCAUCGAGGGACGAGCUAGGACUCCCCACCUUGCUGUGUGACUCGCCCCUCCGCUGAUCUUGCCUCAGACUUGAGGUUUCUCCUAGGCGCUUCGAGAGCUGUUCCCAUGGUCUCCUUCCUCCCAUCUGUAAUGCAAAAGCAAACGGAGUGGAGCCUGGCCUCUUCUUCCUGGGGCUGGAAUUGAACCCAAAUGCUCCCGGCCACCAGAAGAGCAGAGACGUCUGAAAAAGUGUAACACAAACUGCAGUCCAUUCUCACGUGGGCUUGUGGUGUCGACACCUCCAUGGAGCAGUGCUCUGGCUCCACGGCAGGCCUCGUUGGCAUGAAUACUCACAGCGAUCCCUUGAAUGGCGACUUUCUACCAGUCCUUGUGUACAAUACUGUAUUUAUAAAGAUUCAUGUAGAGUG